rnacentral:rRNA from 1 species
UAGCCUUACCGGUGGAUCACUCGGUUCGUGGAUCGAUGAAGAACGCAGCUAGACCUGUAUUUGGUGCGAACUGCAGAAACAUUGAGCACUAAAAAUUUGAAUGUAAAUUUCUCCAUUGGAGUCAUAUCCUCUGGAACGUCUGGUUCAGGGUCUUAUC